GUUAUUGUAGCUUAUGUAAAGCAUGACACUGAAGAUGUCAAGAUAAGCUGUGAAAAGCUUCGAUAACA
rnacentral:tRNA from 1 species